rnacentral:misc_RNA from 1 species
GAGUCGGCCAUGUUUAGGGAGUUCGAUUUCUAGGACUGUAGGUGCUAUAGUUAAUAAUUUUAUAUUAUUGACAAAAUAUCCAUUUCUAUACUGUAUGUUUUAUGGUUUAUUAUCAACCCGGUGCUUCAUGUAACAUAUACGCAUAUUGUUUGUAUUUCAUGUACAUGUAUAUAUGCAGAUUUAUUGUUUAAUUUUUAUAGUGUUACCUUUUUAAAACAUUAUUUCAUCACAAUUUAUAAUUUUGUUGAAUAAAAUUGAUGUAAAAAGC